rnacentral:rRNA from 1 species
CCUACGGUGGGGCAGCAGUGAGGAAUAUUGGUCAAUGGGCGCGAGCCUGAACCAGCCAAGUAGCGUGAAGGAUGACUGCCCUACGGGUUGUAAACUUCUUUUAUAAAGGAAUAAAGUGAGGCACGUGUGCCUUUUUGUAUGUACUUUAUGAAUAAGGAUCGGCUAACUUCGUGCCAGCAGCCGCGGUAAUACGGAAGAUCCGAGCGUUAUCCGGAUUUAUUGGGUUUAAAGGGAGCGUAGAUGGGUUGUUAAGUCAGUUGUGAAAGUUUGGGGCUCAAACGUAAAAUUGCAAUUGAUAAUGGCAGUCUUGAGUACAGGUGAGGUAGGCGGAAUUCGUGGUGUAGCGGUGAAAUGCUUAGAUAUCACGAAGAACUCCGAUUGCGAAGGCAGCUUACUAAACUGCCACUGACAUUGAUGCUCGAAAGUGUGGGUAUCAAACAGGAUUAGAUACCCCAGUAGUC